rnacentral:rRNA from 1 species
AAGGAAUAUUGGACAAUGGACGCAAGUCUGAUCCAGCCAUGCCGCGUGUGUGAAGAAGGCCUUCGGGUUGUAAAGCACUUUAAGCGGGGAGGAAGGCCUGAUGGCUAAUAUCCAUCGGGAUUGACGUUACCCGCAGAAUAAGCACCGGCAAACUUCGUGCCAGCAGCCGCGGUAAUACGAAGGGUGCGAGCGUUAAUCGGAAUUACUGGGCGUAAAGCGCGCGUAGGUGGUUAAGUAAGCGAUCUGUGAAAGCCCCGGGCUUAACCUGGGAACUGCAGGUCGAACUGCUUGGCUAGAGUAUGGUAGAGGGGUGUGGAAUUUCCUGUGUAGCGGUGAAAUGCGUAGAUAUAGGAAGGAACAUCAGUGGCGAAGGCGACACCCUGGACCGAUACUGACACUGGGGCGCGAAAGCGUGGGUAGCGAAC